rnacentral:misc_RNA from 1 species
AACAAGGCGUACCUGCGGACCUGCGGAGGGAUCAUUACAAGUGACCCCGGUCUUACCACCGGGAUGUUCAUAACCCUUUGUUGUCCGACUCUGUUGCCUCCGGGGCGACCCUGCCUUCGGGCGGGGGCUCCGGGUGGACACUUCAAACUCUUGCGUAACUUUGCAGUCUGAGUAAACUUAAUUAAUAAAUUAAAACUUUCAACAACGGAUCU